rfam:Gossypium raimondii Chr02_contig_602, whole genome shotgun sequence.
AAACCAUUCAUCGGGCAUUUUCUCAUUAAUUCCUUAAAAUAUUCCCAUGCUUCGUAUAAUGUCUCAUCUUCAGAUUGUUUAAAUGAUGUAAUGUCAAUCCUCAACUU